AGUUUGAUCCUGGCUCAGGACGAACGCUGGCGGCAUGCCUAACACAUGCAAGUCGAACGAGAAAGUCACUUCGGUGGCGAUUAAAGUGGCGCACGGGUGAGUAACGCGUAGACAAUCUGCCCUUCAGUCUGGGACAACUUUUCGAAAGGAGAGCUAAUACCGGAUAACAAUGCAUGACACAAGUUGUAUAUUUGAAAGCUUUAUGUGCUGAAGGAGGGGUCUGCGUCCCAUUAGCUAGUUGGUAAGGUAAAGGCUUACCAAGGCAACGAUGGGUAGCGGGUUUGAGAGGACGAUCCGCCACACUGGAACUGAGACACGGUCCAGACUCCUACGGGAGGCAGCAGUGGGGAAUAUUGCACAAUGGAGGAAACUCUGAUGCAGCAAUGUCGCGUGAGUGAAGAAGGCCCUUGGGUCGUAAAGCUCUUUUAUGGGGGAAGAUGAUGACGGUACCCCAAGAAUAAGCACCGGCUAACUAUGUGCCAGCAGCCGCGGUAAUACAUAGGGUGCGAGCGUUGUUCGGAAUUACUGGGCGUAAAGGGCGCGCAGGCGGAAUAGCAAGUCGGAGGUGAAAGCCCGGGGCUCAACCCCGGAGGGUCUUUCGAAACUGCUAAUCUAGAGAGGGUCAGGGGCCGGCAGAAUUCCUGGUGUAGAGGUGAAAUUCGUAGAUAUCAGGAGGAAUACCGGCGGCGAAGGCGGCCGGCUGGGGCCACUCUGACGCUGAGGCGCGAAAGCGUGGGGAGCAAACAGGAUUAGAUACCCUGGUAGUCCACGCCGUAAACGAUGAGCACUGGACGUCCGGAGGGUUCGAGCCUUCUGGGUGUCUCAGCUAACGCAUUAAGUGCUCCGCCUGGGGAGUACGGUCGCAAGACUAAAACUCAAAGGAAUUGACGGGGGCUCGCACAAGCGGUGGAACAUGUGGUUUAGUUCAAUGCAACGCGAAGAACCUUACCUGGGCUUGACAUGUUCAUGAAAGCUCUUUGAAAGCAGAGCCCUCUGCGAGCUUGCUCAAAGACAUGAUCACAGGUGGUACAUGGCUGUCGUCAGCUCGUGUCGUGAGAUGUUUGGUUAAGUCCAGAAACGAGCGCAACCCCUUUCCUUAGUUGCCAGCACGUUAUGGUGGGGACUCUAAGGAUACCGCCUGGGACAACCGGGGGGAAGGUGGGGAUGAUGUCAAGUCAGUAUGUCCCUUAUGCCCAGGGCUACACACGUGUUACAAUGGCAAGUACAAAGGGUCGCCAACCCGCGAAGUGGAGCCAAUCCCAAAAAACUAACCUCAGUUCGGAUUGGAGUCUGCAACUCGACUCCAUGAAGUCGGAAUCGCUAGUAAUCGUGGAUCAGAACGCUACGGUGAAUACGUUCCCGGGUCUUGUACACACCGCCCGUCACGCCAUGGAAGUCAGCAGUACCCAAAGCAGGUCGCCUAACCUUCGGGAGGGAGCCUUUUAAGGUAAGGCUGGUAACUGGGGCGAAGUCGUAACAAGGUAGC
rnacentral:rRNA from 1 species